rnacentral:lncRNA from 1 species
CGAACCCCUAAGUAAAGACUCCCGAGCCGCAGAGCCGUCUGAGGGAAGCUUGCACUUCUAAGACCCCCCAGGCGCCCUGGCUGCCGUCCCAGGCCCCGAGGCCGAGGGACCGGCUCCUGGUAGAGGCCCAGCCCUGGAGCGGCGGGGAGCACCCCGUGUCUCCCGGGCCGAGACGCCCGCGCUCCACCAAGGCGUGCGAGUGAAGCCCCGCGGUCACCCUUUGCUGAGGAGACGUGGGACAAGUUCAGUGGUGCCACUGAGGCCAGGAAUGCACCUCAGAAAGCCAGGUGUUCUCACGCCUCUAACCCCAGCUGCUCGGGAGGCUGAGUCAGGAAGAUCAAGAGUUAAAAGCCAGCCCCAGCAACCGCGGGGCACUUAGCAGCUCAGUGAGACCCUGUCUCUAAAUAAAAUACAAAAUAGUGCUGGGGAUGUGGCGCAGUGGUCGAGGGUCCCUGAGUUCAAUCCCUGGUACCCCCCCCCCCAAAAAAAAAAAAAGAAAAAAGAAAAUAGAUCUCCUCACAGCAUUCUUUCAGCUGGGAAAGGGUGCACGAUCCGAAUGGAGUCAAUAAAGUGGGGAGCUGGAGAACUGACCCCACUUCGCAGGGCAGAAGCUCACUUGGUGGAGCUUGCAACAGGCACCGGAUCCCUCCCCAGCACCUCAAAAACAAGCACACUGAAUCAGCCUUUGGAGCCUGAAGUCCUCCUUAGGGGUGUAGGGGAGGAGAAAAACUUUUCCUGUUCUCCAGUGGGACCCCUUAACAAAGCAUACACCAAGAGAAAAGCAGAUCAACUGUAUAUCUCAUGUAUAUAUGGGGGAAACUUGGAGAAGAGUGACUUAGGAAGGGUUUAGAAUUAGCCUUCUAUAGCAUCUUUGUCAAAAAAAAAAAAAUAGAGAAGUGGAGAAGGACAGAGGAAAACAGUUUUAGGUUUCCAAAGGUGACAAACUGGGAAAGCAAAAAUUCAGGAGACUAAAGGUAGACACAGUUCAGCUAGUGAACUUUGCUAUGUCUCUUACCAUCUCUGGCUUGGUAAGAGUCUAAAGGUGUCUUUGGUGAUUAACCUUUGUCUUUGGUAGAUAGCGGGAGGGACACCUUUGGAACUUUAUGUCCUGUUUUUAGGUGAACGAUGGGAGGGCAGGGGACUUUUCUUGUAUGAGCUUCUCAUUUGCCUUCAACUCAACCCUUUUGUCAGAGUGGCAUGUUUUGGGGUGACAUUCUGGUUUAUUUCAGGACAAAAGAGGUAUUUUGAAUUUCUCAUUGUGAACUCCUUAUUGACAUACUGGAUUAUACACUUGUUCCUUGUGAGUUUAAUGAGCUGAGAAAAGGGUGAAGUCUGGGACAUUGCUGACACUAUUCAUUCAGCACAGAGGGUUGCCAAGUCCCUGGUGUUAAAUUGGGGAACUCUUGUAUUUUAGCUUUGUGCCUAGUAAUAUACAAAUUAAAGUUAUGACAUAGAAAUGAGUUUAAAUCAUUAAAUUCAGAUGCACUUCUUCUGAAUUGCACCUUGAUAUCAAUUCAGCAGUGGCAACUGUGGGGGAAAAAUUACUUUCUUCCUUUCUGAGUUCAUGGCUUUGUGUUUUAUGAGAAAAGGAAGACCUGAAGAAGUGUUUAAGUCUGAGUGUUUUUAUGCUUAGGUUUUUGUAUUUGAAAUGUGUGGUGCUAGGGAUUGAACCCAGAGCCUCAUGAAUGCUAGGCAAGCGUUCUACCACUGAGCUACAUUCCCUCACCUUUAACAUUUAACCUAUCAAAAAUAUUAUAAUUUGGAAGAAACAAUUUUAAAAUUGUUAAUGGGAUAUUCUACUUUUUUUUUUUUUCCCUGCAGUGCUGAGGAUCGAAUCCAGUGCCUCACACAUGCUAGGCAGGUGCUCUGCUGCUGAGCCACAGCCCCAAUCCUAUUUUACUUUUUUAUUGUCUUUGAAAUCUUGCAUGUAUUUUAUACUUACAACACUUCACAUUUCAGAUUGUGGUCAUGUUCUAGUUUCAAUAGCCACAAGUAGUUAGUGCCUAUUGGACAGCAUAGGAGAAAUUGGGUUCUCACAGGACUAUAUGUCAAUCAAUUCAAUAUUUAACCUGUAGGAAGUAAGAUUUUUUUGCUCAAAGGCAUUUUGAAAGAUCUUUUGACAUUCCGGGAAACCAAAAGAUCAGAUCAAGAACCCCCACCUGAACCUAUUGUUUUAGGUAGCCUGUAGUUAGCCCCAUGACUCUGAUAGAAAUGAGUUUGGGUCAGAGAACUAAAUGGAAAUAAAAUAUCAGGAUUCCAGCCUGAAAGAGCCAGUAGCAGUUCAAGGCUUAAGGCAUUUCCAGAGACCAGAACCAGAGGUGGCCUGGACUGAGUAACCAUGAAAACUCUCCAUGUCAGAGCUGGGAGCAUUUUCAACUUAUUCCUAGCGGGAGUCAAUCAUUUCUAAGUUACAGUGGUUGCUGUAUUUUCCAUUUCUCCUUUUUCCCAAUGGGGUCUUCAUUGCAAUUGCAGUUGUUCUGUUCUUGUUCUACCAUUGUACUCUGGAGUACUUGGUCAUAAUUCAGUGGACUGGGAGGAGCUGCAUUCAGACCCAAUAAAAACGGCUGAGCCACCCCAAAGAUCCUGCACUUUCAAGCCCUGUGCCUAGUUGCCUCUCUUGGGAAGGAAAUAUCUGUACAUUCUCUGUGAAGAGGUUGGGUGCAUAUUUGGUGGCCAGGGUCACAUUUUGAUUGUCAUUUGCCCACCUAAUCUUCCUUCACAGGAUGUUAGGGUGUGGCCACCCAGGUGGGAACUCAAGUUCCCAGUUUUUCUUGCUUCUAGGAGUGACUCUUUGCCAAUGUUCUCACCAGUGGAAUGUGAACAGAAAUGAUGUGGGCGGCCUCCUCCCACUUGUUAAGAUGAAACAUUUGUCCCAGGACUUCUCUGAUCAUUUCCUGCUGGCUUGGGUGGUAACUAGAACAGCCUUGGAAGCCCUAAAUAUUAGUGACCAAAAGGUCAUGAAUAUGUACUUUUAUAUGAAUGAGACACAAACUUCUAUUUUAAUCAAGACAUUGUAUUUUGGGGUCUUUAAAAAAAAAGUAACUUGAAGUCCUGAGAGCAUGCUUCUGGUAUUCCAUGUGGGAAAAUUUUCUUAGUUUAUCCGUCGUUUCUGUACAGCACGUUUUCCAGUUGCUUUCAUCAAAAGUGUGCUUGAGAGGUAAAUAUUUUGGGAGCUGAAUUUCUUUGCAUUUGACUGUAUCCUUUGUGACCUAUGAGAUCUUUUUGUGACCUAUGAGUGCUGUUGUGUGGAUCUUUUCAACUACUGUUUUGGGCACUCAAACCUUUCAAUUUGGAAACUUAUAUUCUUCAUUUCUAGGAAUAAGAAUAUGAUUCCCUCUCCCUGCAUCUUCUCUAUUUUUAGUGGAACUGUUAAUAUUCAGAUUUUGGAUUUCCUUGCUUGGUACUCUAAUUUCUUACAUUUCCUCCCCUAGCUCCCAUCUGUUUGUCUUUUUGAUUUAUUUUUUGGGAAAUUCCUCACAUCUAUUUUUCUUCAACUGAGUUUUAAUUUUGUUAUUCUUUUCCCCCCCGAAUAUUUCUUUAAUAUAUAUAUAUUUUUUUAAUGCUGGGGAUUGAACCCACGGCCUCACACAUGCUAGGCAGGUAUUCUAUCACUGAGCUGCAUCACUAAUGCUUUUUAUUUUGAGUCAGGGUCUCACUAAGGUGCUGAUGCUGUCCUGGACCUUUUAAUUCUCCGGUCUCAGUCUCUGGAGCAGCUGGGAUUAUAGGCAUGCACCACUGUGCCCACCUUUUCUGCUGCUCAUUUACCCUUUUUGCUGCUUCUAAAAUCUUGUUGGUGUGGAAAACUCAUCUUUAAUGGGUUUAUGCUUGAAAACAAAAACUAUUUGUGCUUCCAACAGUUUCAGAAGGAAGCAAUUGCAAUGCACCUGUUCAGUUUUUCCCUAGGGAUUAUUCGAUUUCUGUUCAUUUUUCUGUCAGCACUAACCACCAUGAUUGCUCUCCUGAUCCCCCAAGGUCUGCCAACUACUCUUCCUAUUUCCAGGGUUGCCCUUUCCUUGGCAACUUUGUUACACUGAAGCGGAAUGAACUUUCUACAGAGCAAGUGGUAUAAUUUUUUCAUCCUCCUUUAAACCCUUUAACUCCCUGUUGCCCUCUAAAGACUGUAAAACAGCAACUAACUUCUGUCUACUUUUUAAUCCUCAUCCCCCAACUCUCUCCCAUUAGCUCCCUGGGCUCUAGCCAUAGUUUUACCUCUGUUUCUCUUAACAUUCAAAUGUGGCAUCUCAGUGUUUCCUACAUAUUGUUCCUUUAUGUAAAUUUGUUCCUUACUGUUUCCUCCAAUCCUUCCAUCCCUAAGUUUUUUUCAAUUAACUUCUAUCCUUUGUCUUUCAGGUCUCAACUUUAAUUUUUCUUCUUCAGGGAAGUGUGUCAUGUCACUCUAGACUAGGUAGGUCCUUUGUUGAUGGUCUGGUGUGCAAGAUACUUGCUAUCUCUCCAUGGAAAGGUUCUAUCUCCUUAUCUAAUGAUGUCAGUGUUCUAUGUAACACACGUUAGGAAAUUCUGCAUUAUAUUAUUCAUUACCCUUUAGUUAUUGUUAUUAUGCAUUUAGUUGCCUGUCUUAACCAGACUAAGUUCCCCAAAGGGUAUAUUUUACAUACCAUCGUACCCCUAGUGUUUAGUAUACUGCCUUGCCC